UGUUCUGUGGCUUAGUCGGAUUAAGCGUCGGACUAGCGAUACGAAGUCGUGGGUUCAAAUCCAUCCAAAUUUG
rnacentral:tRNA from 1 species